CAUGUAGGCGGUUGUUUAAGUCUGAUGUGAAAGCCCUGGGCUCAACCCAGGAAGUGCAUUGGAUACUGGGCAACUUGAGUACGGGAGAGGAAAGUGGAAUUUCGAGUGUAGGGGUGAAAUCCGUAGAUAUUCGAAGGAACACCAGUGGCGAAGGCGGCGUCCUGGCCCACACCUGACGCUGAGACGCGAAAGCGUGGGUAGCGAACG
rnacentral:rRNA from 1 species